CCUCCUUCAAAAUGGUCAGGGAAAAAACUCUAAGUUGUUAACAUGCAUUUUUUUUUCAGCAUCCCAAGCCUAUAGCUUGGAUGGAGCAAUAGUAGGUGUGGAAUUACCAUCAUUUUUCCUAGGGUGCCCCUGGGCUCAGGCCACCUGUACAGCACCUGCAGACAAAUUGCUGGAGGUCAUUAGCCUGAAGGCCUCCAUCUGCUGUCAGCUUCCCCUCCUCAUUUAUAUCAGAUCCUGAGCUCUGGGAGAGGGAUACUGCUGGGCAUUUUGCUCAAAUGCAGGGUUCUUAUGUUUUUCUCUGGAGUGGUAUUGAGGAUUUGCCUAUGCUUCAGCUGCUGCUGUUUGCAAGAUGGGCAGGAGCCCCAGGAAUGCUACCAGCAAAUGCUGCAUCUCAGGUUUAUAGACUGAUGGGACCUGAAAUAAGGAGCUUCCACACGUCCUCCUGAGCCAACCAAGGGCGUAUGGCCUUCUUGUGAGAUCUUGGCCGUGGCUCAGGAGGUGAUACUGAGGAAGAACAGCUUCCAUGAGGAAAGGGGCUGCACCCAGCUGGCAUCCUGCAAUGCAGUUUGCUUGGAGGGGCUUGCUCAGAACAUCUUGGUCCUUGUGCAGGAGGGUCAGGAACUGCUCUGGUGUGUCGUUUGGAAGUUGUUUGUGCUUCAGUGUUUUCAAAGGUUCAUUUAGCUCUGUGUUCAUGGCCAGCUUUUGUGCUGCAACAGAAUGCCUCACUCUUCAGCUCCCAGAGGUUCCACUAAAACUGUUGUUUCCUUUUUGAUUUACGACCACCUUUGUAAGACAGUUCCUGUGCUAUUUCUGUUCAGAUGAGGAGUUCAUGGAAGUUGUUAUCAGAGCGUAUUACAGCACUCAGUUUCCCCUGACUUUGGAGACAAAUGAGGAAGCAGAUACUUGGAAUCCUCUUGUGUUAGAUUGAUGUACUUUUAUUUCUUUUGAGCCUCUGACUUGCAGCUGUGGUUGCUCUUGCAGGUUUAUCAGGCCUCUUACAUUAAUUUCAGUGAGUCUGGAUUGCUGAUUUUACUUGCUUGCUUUGUGAUUAAAGCUAACAAGAGUAGAUCACAAGUUCAUGCUGUGCUUCAGGAUAGCAGAGUAACGACAGUUCAGGCUUGGAAAAUGUAUUUCUGAAUCAGUUUUGUACUGGAGGAUACACCCAUUUCUUUGCAUAAUUGCUUUCCACAUAUUUAGGAAGCUGAUGAGAUUUGCUCAUCAGGAAGGAAGCACAUGUCAAACUACCUCUUCUGCUCUUAGAAGUUAAUUCAUUGUCUUGCCAUCUGUUAACUUAUUCUGAACUCAAAUUCCCUCUUGUACUUGAUAUAGAUAUAUCUAUAACUGGAAAAUUUAGUUUUCUGUGAGAAACUUAAAAUAGACACUUCUGAUGAUGCAAGUGCAAUGGUGUACAGCUCUGAUUCUAACUCUCUGUAUGCUAGAGGAACUGGGCAUGGGAGCAAAUAGGAAAAAACAGCAAGGGCCUGGAGCUGCAGUCAGACACAGAACCUGACCUUGGGAAAAUAACACAGGAGGGCAGAGAGAAUCCUGGUGGGCAGGUCGUUUGCAUAGGAGCAGGUGAUGCCCCACCUGUUACUUGAUGCCUGCUCUGUUCAGGGAAACUACAUUUGGGUAAUAAGGAGGAUUUGGAUUUACAAGGAGGCUUUAAUUAUGCAGUUAAAAGAAGAAAUUCAUUUCUCUUAAAAUUAAGAAUGACUAUUGUACACUAGCAAACUACUGGUAUAUAACACAGCAAGGACCAGCAGUAGGAGCUG
rnacentral:lncRNA from 1 species